AAAUGGAACUGAAAAGAAAGAAUGUUGUCAAAAAAGAACAGAAGUUGGUGAUGUGAUCUGUGAAACAAUAUGAAGGAAUUCUUCUGGAAGUUCUGAGCUCUUAGAGGAGGGUGCUUGCUCUCCAAGACCUAGAGCAGAAUUAGAUCCUGAGAUGGGGAAGAAGACUUAGGUUAGAAGUCUGGCAAAUGAUAUGUAUUCAUUGUGGAGUUCUCCGAUUUUGUAAAGGAAGAAAGAUGCUUCCAAGACUCACUAGUUCUGCUCUUUUCUCCUCGGCGAUGAUGCAAUGUAAAGAAUCCUUCCGUAUCAAAUUUGCUUGGGUCUUUAGCAUCUGCACAAAAGAAAAAAAAGGAUAAAAAGGAAGGUUCAAUGAUGUGAUGAACAAAGACACAUCCAAAUUGGGAGGGGAAGUGUUCUUUGGAACCCAGGAAGAUUAGGAAUUCUAUCCAUUAGUCAUGAUGAUGCUCAUGAACUCAGCCACAGCUUCAACUUUGACAUGGAUAACUACAAAAUGAAUCUCAAUAUCCUGUGCUUUAGUGAACCAGGUAGUCAACUGAUAAUUACUGACUGUCUACCAUGUAGCUGCAAAGCACUAUGGUUGCUCUGGUGGAAGAUACAAGGAAGGUUCCUGCCCAUAAGGAUCUUGCCAUAUAAAAGGAUGAAGUGUAUCUCUAAAGAUGACUAACAAUAUAGUCUGUAGAGCGAAUUCAUCGAUUCAAGCUAUGAAAACCACUGGAGAAGUCAACAACAUGGAAUGUUUCAGUUUUUCCAUUUCUACCCCCGUCUUUUCCCACCAUUAUGGAACUUUUAAAGGGCACACAUCUGAAAAGCUAUGCUCUUCUCAACCCCAAAUAGUAAGAAAAAAAAUGUCACUUGCCACUCAUUUCCAGAAAGUAUCUUGCAUUCAUUAGCAUUCGGCCUUGAGGUUUCAGCUCUAACUGGUUGAGAGAAGGAAAGAAAGAUCAGUCAGAAGAGGAGACUGGGUUAAGCAUUUUAAAAGUAAAAGUGGGUUCUUUAGAGAAGACUUUUCAAUUCCCCAUGUUCCUUUUAUUCCUUAUCACCACUAGUAGUAGCAAUGGCCUGAAAUGCUUCUCUCUCACCAAGGACACCCAGAAUAACCCGAAAUUCGUGACUGCUUUUUGGAGGUUGAAAUCCAAAAGGAAGGAUGAUAUCAGGUUUUUAAGAGAACUUCACAGUGGUCUCCUUUGGCCUGACUCAGCCUUUCUUUCCUUUAAAUGUUUUUUUAUUUGAUGAGUACUACAGGUCAGAUCCUGGUCACAAUGGAAGGACUACAAGGGAACAGGUAAAAGGAAUAAGGGCACAGUCUUUAGUUUUGAUUCUUUAGAGCAAAGGAAGGGGCAGAAUGACAGAUGAAUCCUGGCUUUGGAAGUAGAAGUACUCAAUUUCCUCAUCAUAGUUGGGCAAUCUGGACAGAAAGGGUAUUAAAUGGGCAAAGUCAAAGAAUUGGAAGACUCUCCUUGAAACAAAAGACCAGGUAAUCCUGUAGGGAACAUUUUAAGCUAGAUUAGUCCAGGAAGUGAUAAAAAAAAUGAACGUAAAGAAAUAAUGCAAUGUAGUAUUUCUAGGGAAAAUUCAGGAAAUGAUUAAAAGUCAGUUUAAUUAUUAAUAAAUUAUCAAAUUAAAAAAUAAUAAUCAAUAAAUAUUUAAUGUCUAAUGCUGAAAUCUGUUUGCAUGACUUCAAGUGUAUAAUUGAUAAAUUGCUUGCCUUCCCAAAGGGUAGGGGAAGGAUAUAAAUGAGGGAGAGAAUUUAGAACCCAAAAAUAAAACAAAAAAGGGAAAAAUAAAUUGAAAAUUCAGUAGACAUUCAUUAAGCAACUACUAUGUGUAAAUUAUAUUAAACAUAGGCAACAAAUGGAACCAUUUGUACCUUUCUAUAGAUAGUACUCUGUUUUGGGAUACAAAAAAACAUGCAAAUAUAAUUAAGUAGACAAUAAACAUUUAUUAAGUGCCUUCUGUGUACCAGGCUGGAGAUAAAAAGACAGGCAAAAGAUAGUCCCUCUUCUCAAAUUGCUCACAGUCUAAUGGAAGUAGGACACAACCUGGGGGAAAAAAGAGAGUACUAACCAUUAGGGAGGUUAAGGAAAGCUUAGCAAGAAGUACAGCCAAGAAGUUAAGGAUUUUAAGAGAAAUGAGGCAGCCUUCAAACACAGAACCAGGAGACGGAACUCCAAGUUCCAGGAAGAGCUAGUAUUCUAGUUUCUUUAUAAGAGUGAGAGAAAUGGGUAAAUAAGAAAUAACAACAGAAAGGCAGGUUAGAAUCAGAUUAUGGAGGGCUAUAAAUGUCAGGCUUAAUAGCUUGUAAUUGUAAUUGCCUCUUAUAAGAGACAAUAGGGAGCCAUGGAAAAUUCCUGAGCAUGGUUAUGAUCCAUGCUUAAAGGAAAUUAUUUUGUCAAAGCAAAGAAAAAAAGAACCUAACUAUAUUAAUACAGAUGACCCAAGAAACUUUUAAAAAAGCAUUGAAGGUCCUGGUUCAUAAUCACAGUAAAAGAGUAGUAGCUUGAGGGAUAUGUGAGGAAAAAUUUCUUUUUAGAAUAUGGAACUUCACUGGCCUAGAUUAGACCAGAGGAAUGAAAAUUAUGUACGUAAAAGAAUAUGUGUCUAUGCUAAAGAUAUAUAAACUCACCUUUUGGAUCAGGUUAUUAGGAGUAGGCUGGCAGAAACACACCUCCCCCAAUAAAAACAACAAAAAUCCCUACAAAAACAUAUUCCAAAAGGGAAUGGAAUGAUGUGUCUAGCAGAUGCUCAGUAAAUAUCUGUUGAUGUAUAAAUGAAGGAAUUUAUGACUAGGAGCUUGAUAUCAAAAUUAACUGGGGAAUACUGAGCAUUCUUCAAACACUUUACCACAGUGUUACUGAUUUAUGAAUAAAUAAGUUAUUUCUAGAAAACAAUGCAUUAUUGGGGAGGAGGAGGUGUCUUCUCCAACCAUAUGUAAACCUCAAAAUUUCUCAGACUUAUGAAUGUUAAGGGUUUCCCCCAUUGGGGAAUCUUCUACUUAAAAAAAUUCCCUAGCAGAUGGUGAGAACUCUACUUGAGUGUGGGAGCUCCUUGCCUUGGGAAUAUCCCUACUCCACCCUACUUAGGACUGCUUUAGGACAGAGAGCUCCUUGAGAACAAUGAAAAGUACUUUGAUCCAUGCUUAUGGAAGGGACAGGAAGUUCUUUGAGUCAUGACUGUUUUAGAAUUGAUACAAUGAGAUACUAAGUACCUAUAAAGGUGAGGCAACUUGAAAACUACUUAAACCUAAAAGGGUGAUAACUUAUUCAGAGGUUUUUUCUAAUGAAAUUUGUCGACACAGCAGCAUUUUUUUCCUGACUUACUAAAGAGAUUAAAACUACUCAGCUGUGAAUUCAAAAUGGGAGGUCCUUUAGAAACAUCUACAGUGAUUGGUAGAUGUAAGGACUUAGGGGAGGUGACAGAGAAGAUUUUGCCCUUAAGAAUAAGAGCUCAGGGAAUAGCUAAAAAGUCAUUCUGAAACAUUCAGAUUGGAGAGACUCAUUCUGAGGAGACUGAUUCUGAAACAUUCAGAUGGAAGAGGGAGCUGGUGAAAGCAGCUGAGAUGCUGCUGACCUGGUGUCAUUAGAAAUCCUUACUUAUAAACAUAAAGAAGGAUACCAUAAGUAAAUUGGGUAAACACAGAAUAGUAUACAUGUCAGACCUUUGGGAGGGGAAAGGCUUUAAAACCAAGCAAGAUAUAGAAAGAAUCACAAAAUGUAAAAUAAAUAAUUUUGACUACAUCAAACUAAAAAGCUUUUGUACAAACAAAACCAAUAUAACUAAAAUCAGAAGGGAAACAACAAAUUGGGAAAAAAUCUUCAUAGAAACCUCUGACAAAGGUUUAAUUACUCAUAUUUAUAAUGAGCUAAAUCAAUUGUACAAAAAAUCAAGCCAUUCUCCAAUUGAUAAAUGGGCAAGGGACAUGGAUAGGCAGUUCUCAGAUAAAGAAAUCAAAACUAUUAACAAGCACAUGAAGAAGUGCUCUACAUCUCUUAUAAUCAGAGAGAUGCAAAUCAAAACAACUCUCAGGUAUCACCUCACACCUAGCAGAUUGGCUAACAUGACAGCAAAGGAAAGUAAUGAAUGCUGGAGGGGAUGUGGCAAAGUAGGGACAUUGAUUCAUUGCUGG